GCAAAUGCACGAGCCUGCUAGCUUCAGAAGCCCAAUGCGUUGCUAAGAGGGGGAAAGGAAUCAGAGUGACUAAUUCACUCUUCAAGCCAAAAUUUCAAACAAGCUCCUCCCAAGUCCCUCACCGGAGCAUCAACCUUACCGCGCCAGAAUUCACUUCCGGCGGCGGCGGAGGUCCAAGUGACCUCAAACUUAUCCCAACUCGCUCUCUUCCAUACACUCAGUCACACACACACUCUCUCUCUUUCUCUCACACACACACACUCUCUCUCUCUCACACACACUCUCUCUCUCACACACGCACGCGCACACGCAUACACGCACGCGCGCACAUACGCACGCGCACUCACACACGCAUGCGCAUGCGGACACGCACACGCGCACGCACACGCGCAUACGCACACGCACGCGCGCGCACACACACCCACACACACGCGCUCACGCACACACACACAAACACACACACACAAUCUCAAGCUAAUUUCUAUAAACUCCUAACUAUUUCAUAAAAUCGAGCCAAACAAAAUAAGAACCCUAGGUUAAAUAAACUUAAAUUAAAUGGCGUUGAGGAGGAAUCAAAUCCCGAUAUGUUAGAACUUUGAUUUCUUAGGCUUAAGUUUACAUGAUGAUAACUUACUUCAGGCAAAAAAGAACAAGGAAUUAAAAAUCACCAACCUACAAGGUCGAGGUUCACCCUGGUGAUUGCUGAAGGUUGAAGAAGAUGCUUACAAAGAGAAAACUAGAGGUAUUAACAGGACUAAUGGAUAUGUGAGGUGGUUUGGCAUGGAAUGAAAUAUCACCAUAAUUCAUAAAGACUUGAUCAAAGCAUGUAGGAUAUUAAUAUGAUCAUGGCACAUGAAGGCAACAUCAUGGGGGCUCUUUACAAAAAAGAUGGCUUAUGAAUGAAGAAAAGUGGGGACUAAGUCCUAGGGUUAGAUAGUUGACUUCAGUCAACUUGUUUGACUAAAAAGCCAACAGUUGACCAAAGAUCAACCCUAGGUCAAAAACAUGUAAAAGAAUGUGUAGUUGUAAUUUUGGAUUUUUGUAAUAUGGAUUGGAUGCUUUGUAAUGAAAUUGGCCUUUGAAAUGAA